rnacentral:rRNA from 1 species
UACGGGGGAGCAAGCGUUGUUCGGAUUUACUGGGCGUAAAGGGCGCGUAGGCGGCCACCGCAAGUCGACUGUGAAAUCUCCGGGCUUAACCCGGAAAGGUCAGCCGAUACUGCGGGGCUAGAGUGCAGAAGGGGCAACUGGAAUUCUCGGUGUAGCGGUGAAAUGCGUAGAUAUCGAGAGGAACACCUGCGGCGAAGGCGGGUGCUGGGCUGACACUGACGCUGAAGCGCGAAAGCUAGGGGAGCGAACGGG